UACGGAGGGUGCGAGCGUUAAUCGGAAUUACUGGGCGUAAAGCGCACGCAGGCGGUUUGUUAAGCAAGAUGUGAAGACCCCGGGCUCAACCUGGGAACUGCAUUUUGAACUGGCAGACUAGGAGUCUUGGAGAGGGGGGGUGGAAUUCCAGGGUGUAGCGGUUGAAAUGCGUAGAAGAUCUGGAGGAACAU
rnacentral:rRNA from 1 species